UGCGUGAAACCGUUUGGAGGGAAACGGGUGGGAGCUCGAAGGUCGAACGGAUGGGAAGGGAUUCAACUUGGUCGUAGUAGCUGGUUGACCCCGGAGUGUGCUUGAGUGCGUUGGCGUUCUCAUCUUGCGGUGAGAAUGUUGCGUGUUCCACGUUCUGGUCAUGCCUAGUUUGCUGCGCCUUGUGCAUUUCCCUAUCUCCCCUCUCCUAGUAGGACGCCGUGACCGGCUGUUGAGGGAAGCCCAAAAGCUGGUCGGAGCAGCUGCGCGGAUGAGUGUGGGAUUUGUUCCCUGCAUCUGGUCUGUCUGUCUCUGGCCGCCUGCGGGAAGCUUCCUCCGGCCGAGGAAAUGUGCGAGCUGGGCUUCCGUAAGGUCGUCCCUCGUCCAUGAACGUACCCACGAUCCACGGUGCGGGUCGAAAGAACCCAACGAGUGGCUGCGGGUAGGCUGCGUGCCAGGUUUAACGACCUGGUUUCGCGCGGUCUCCCGUUUGUCAGUCGCUGGCGGUCAGGGUGCGGACUCCCGCAAGGGGUGCUGGGGGUCAACGGCGAGUAGAUUGGUUUCCCACCCGACCCGUCUUGAAACACGGACCAAGAAGUCUAACGUGUGGGCGAGUCUUCGGGGCCUGCAAACCCUUAGAAGGCGUAAUGAAAGUGAAGGUGGAUGAGAAUGGCUCUUCCUGGCAGCCGCGAGGUUGUUGGGAAUAGAGCCGGACUCUCUGCUGGGGUGGGAUCCUCUGUCUAAUGGCAGGGGCGCACCACCGGCCCAUCCUACGGCCGCUAAAGCCGGUCGGGUGGAGCAAGAGCCCACACGUUGGGACCCGAAAGAUGGUGAACUAUGCCUGGGCA
rnacentral:rRNA from 1 species